ACUGCUGCACAUGCUUGACCGUUUUUAUGAUAUAUUGAUUUUUGAAACGGCAAUCCUUGCGAAAAGCCUAACAACCCUUAUAUAAAAGCCGCCUAUAUUUUUCGGUGCCAUCUCAAUUUUAGGACAGGAGAAUAUUUAGUAAUAUAAAGUGGACAGGUAAGAAAUUUCGCCUGAAGAGUGGUCUGCUAGUUACUUCAUCGGCUAUUGCCACACAGCAGUAUAUUUCUGAACUAUUUCUUGAAACCUGUAACAUGGAGUCUGUUAUGAAGAAAGCAGCAAUUAUUUUGUUUGUUGCCCUCUGUGUCAUCAGCUGCCAUUCGGCUUCUUCAAGUGGAGCUAGGAAAGCAGUGGUAGAGGAACGAGUGUUGUAUUCAACUAGAGACUGCUGGAGACACACUUGUCCUAAAUGUCCCGGUGGGUGCAGGUGUCCGGGCUUCGUUUCCCGUUUACUCGGAAGACAUGCCUGUUACUGAAAAGCACGGAGAAUAAAAGACGUAUAUCAAAAUCAAUUUCACAGAAAAUAAAAAUUUGAC